rnacentral:rRNA from 1 species
UACGUAGGUGGCAAGCGUUGUUCGGAAUUAUUGGGCGUAAAGGGCGCGUAGGCGGUUUGUUAAGCCGGUUGUGAAAGCCCGGGGCUCAACCCCGGAGGGUCGACCGAUACUGGCAGGCUAGAGUACAGAAGAGGUAGCUGGAAUUCCCGGUGUAGCGGUGAAAUGCGUAGAUAUCGGUAGGAACACCAGAGGCGAAGGCGGGCUACUGGGCUGAUACUGACGCUGAUGCGCGAAAGCCAGGGGAGCAAACGGG